AUAGAUACUAUAUCCGUAGGUUUUAGUCAUAGUUAGUAUCUAUAUCCGUGGGUUUUAGUCAUAGUUAGUAUCUUCUCAAGGUAUCCUCCAUAUAUUAUCUAUGAACCGGAGCGAGAACGAUAACCGAACUGAUAAGACGAUGGCAUUGCCCAGGGUGUUAUUGGUGAUUCCGCUGUUUGCCGUUUCAAUUUUAGGGUUGCGCAUUCUCGUCCAAAAUGCUCCAACCACCAAUUACCAAUGCCAACUCAAACUGGAGCUUCCCAAGAGCAAGGCUGAAUUAGCGGAACUCAACUCGUGUCUUAAAAAGCACUAUGAUAACAACUUCCUAUAUAUGCUUACAUUGUUCAGUACUGUUUACAUUAUCAAACAAGCUUUUUGCAUACCAGGCUCUAUUAUACUGAAUUUAAUUGCGGGUUCGUUGUUUGGCUCUAGUCUUGGGCUCCUGUUGGUAAGUACGCUAUCCAGUAUAGGUGUCACGGCAUGUUACCUCUUGUCUAAAGUAUGCGGAGUCGAGACGUUUCUAAUGAAUUAUUUCCCAGGCACGUUAACCUCGUCAAAAAAUACUGUGGGAAAUUUGGUUCAAAAUAAUAAACAUCAACUUUGGUACUUGCUACUAGUCUUGCGUAUCAUUCCGAUCACUCCAAACUGGCUGUUGAACCUGCUUGCACCAGUUUUUAGCAUUCCUCUAUGGACAUUUACAUAUACUACAUUUCUUGGACUGAUGCCAUACAAUUACAUAUGUUGUCAGAGUGGCGAGACAUUGUCAAGUAUCGAUUCGUUGGAAGAAAUAUUUACUUUAAAAACUACACUUCAGCUAACAUCCAUAGCCGUGGUUAUGGUGAUCGUAAAAAUUGCUUCGAAGUUCUGUCAAAUAAACACCUAAUUGUUAUUUACAGUGUUUACUAGUUUGUCGCUUAUGGGUAACCUCAAUUCUACAAGACACAUUGUCAAAGUUCAUCAAAAGUUAGAAUGCACAAUGUUUGUAGGACUGAAAAAUAUGUCCAAAUUAAAAAACUUUUUGGAUAAAUAUUUGGUUGAUAAAUUCAGAAUUGAAAAAAACACACAUGACAAAUUGGAAAAAGGACGGUUAUGAAUCUUUUAUCUAUGUGACAGCGGAAGAGACUGAAAUAGAAAAAAGAAGAAAAUUUCACUUCUAUAACUUCGGUAUAGAAUCCUUGAUUCAAUUAUAAAAAUUUAAAAAAAAUUAAUUUUGGAAAAUUGCCCAGUGCAAAAUCAAGGACUGUUAUUGAAUAACAAUGUUUCUAUUUCCAUCUGUUUGACGCAUGCACAAUUAUUCCAUACCAUUUUGUCCGCAAGCUUGUGAAAUAUCAAGACUAGUAUUUUAUCAAAAUGUAGCUGAGUACAAUAGGUACCCUAACCAAUUAAUAAUAGUUAUAGAAUAAGAUUCACUAUGUUAUGGUCAAUGUAGAAUACUAGGUUAUAUAAUUAUUUGUAUUAAAUUUAUUUAAACCAAUAAUUAUGUAAUAUUUAUGUAAAAAUAAAAAAUAAAUGCACUUAAUUAUAUUGUA